CCCAUCAGGUAGUUGGUGGGGUAAAGGCCCACCAAGCCUGAGACGGGUAGCCGGCGUGAGAGCGCGGCCGGCCCGAGGGGCACUGAGACACGGGCCCCACUCCUACGGGAGGCAGCAGGCUGGAAAUGUGGGCAAUGGGGGAAACCCUGACCCCGCGACGCUGCGUGCGGGAAGAAGCCCUUCGGGGUGUAAACCGCUUUUGUGGGGGGCGAAGUACUGACGGUACCCCACGAAUAAGCCACGGCUAACCUCGUGCCAGCAGCCGCGGUAAGACGGGGGUGGCGAGCGUUGCCCGGAAUCACUGGGCUUAAAGGGGGCGUAGGCGGCUGGGUGUGUCGGGUGUGUAAUCCACCGGCUCAACUGGUGGGCUGCGCCCGAUACUACCUGGCUAGAGGGCGCUAGGGGGAGGCGGAACUCCUGGUGUAGCGGUGAAAUGCGUAGAUAUCAGGGGGAACACCGGAGGCGAAGGCGGCCUCCUGGGGCGUGCCUGACGCUGAGGCCCGAAGGCUGGGGGAGCAAAGGGAUUAGAUACCCCCGUAGUCCCAGCAGUAAACGAUGUGGCUAGCGUCUG
rnacentral:rRNA from 1 species